rnacentral:rRNA from 1 species
UACAGAGGUCCCGAGCGUUUGUUCGGAUUCAUUGGGCGUAAAGAGCGCGCAGGCGGCUUGGUAAGUCGGAUGUGAAAUCCCGAGGCUCAACCUCGGGUCUGCAUCCGAUACUGCCCGGCUAGAGGUAGGUAGGGGAGAUCGGAAUUCCUGGUGUAGCGGUGAAAUGCGCAGACUAUCAGGAGGAACACCGGUGGCGAAGGCGGAUCUCUGGGCCUUACCUGACGCUCAGGCGCGAAAGCUAGGGGAGCGAACUGG